AUUGAACGCUGGCGGCAGGCCUAACACAUGCAAGUCGAACGGUAGCACAGAGAGCUUGCUCUCGGGUGACGAGUGGCGGACGGGUGAGUAACGUCUGGGAAACUGCCCGAUGGAGGGGGAUAACUACUGGAAACGGUAGCUAAUACCGCAUAACGUCGCAAGACCAAAGUGGGGGACCUUCGGGCCUCACACCAUCGGAUGUGCCCAGAUGGGAUUAGCUAGUAGGUGGGGUAAUGGCUCACCUAGGCGACGAUCCCUAGCUGGUCUGAGAGGAUGACCAGACACACUGGAACUGAGACACGGUCCAGACUCCUACGGGAGUGAGCAGUGGGAAUAUUGCACAAUGGGCGCAAGCCUGAUGCAGCCAUGCCGCGUGUAUGAAGAAGGCCUUCGGGUUGUAAAGUACUUUCAGCGGGGAGGAAGGCGGUGAAGUUAAUAACUUCACCGAUUGACGUUACCCGCAGAAGAAGCACCGGCUAACUCCGUGCCAGCAGCCGCGGUAA
rnacentral:rRNA from 1 species